CCUGCCUCAAUAUGAUAGUCUAUAACUUUAUCAAUAGUAUUUGUAUAGCUGGAGAAAACAUAUGAGCAGAAACAGGAUCUACAUGAUCCUUGGAAAAGAGAGUGCAAAAACCGAAAGUCAGAGAGGUGUCCAAGAGCCCCUAGGCUGGAAUGCAUCGCCAGUGCUCUUAAACUCUGGAUAAGACAGCCCUCAAGAAUCCUAAUGCCGCUGGCCUGAGCCCAGGGCUGAAAUUUCUCCCAGAUGCUUUGUUAAAAGAAAACUAAAUAUGCCAUUGUAAAUAAACACAUGAACAGUCUGAAUUGCACAUCAGUAUCCUGUGAGGUUUGUUUGCCUGGAUAAACCCUUGAGAACCUAGAAAAAUGUCAGCUGCCCUGAAAAAGUCAAAUUUGAAAGACUUAACACCAAAGAACUACUUGAUAAGGAAUCCUGUUGGGUGACUAAUCAACCUGCCUCCAUGUGGGCAGUGGAUCUUCCAAAACUUUGAGUUGCAUGUUUCCCCAUCACCAAGAGGCUGCUGGGGAAGGACCCUGAAGCUGCGGGUUAGGGAUGUGAAAGAUUGCCCCAAACAUUUCUGCCUCCCCUAUAGGAGGUGGAACCUGUGCCCUUCCCCUUGAGUCUGAGCUGGGCCUACAACUGCUUUGACCACUAGAACAUGGAGACUUACAGCCCCAGGCACUGAGAAAGCCGAUCACUUCCAACUCCUCUGCUUAGAGACCCAGGCUGACCAUAAAAUGUCCAGGGUAGAGAGAGGCCACAGGGAGAAGACACAGAGAACAAGAUGCCACAUGGAAACAGAGGCCACGUGGAGUAGCACUGAGGGUCCAGCCCCUCCUGAAGGCAAGGACACAAGAAAUCCCAAAAGAGACAGUUGAGGAACCAGCCAGCUGAACUCCAGUCAACUCAUGGAAUUGUGAAAUACCACUAAAGGGUUGUUGCUUAAGCCACUAAGGGUGGGGGUGCUUUUUAAGGCAAAAAUAGAUCAUCAAAACACCACCUAAACCAGUUCUCCAGUUUUCCUUUCAAAUGAGUCCAAUAACUGUUUACUGGAUUGAGUGAGUUCAAAGCUUUACUCUCAGAUAUCAUUGAAUUCUCCCCUUCUGUUUGAGACUUAUUUAACCCAUAAGAAACUGAGACUCAAAUUUGUUAAGUCAUUUGCCCCACAUUGCAUAGUUAGUUAGAGGGAAACUAAACUAAAUGCAACUCAGACGCUGACUGCUGUGCUGUUUCCUUUCAGUAGCCCAGCCCAGCCCUGGCACUCCCCUCCAGCCACACUGUCUGGUCUUCCUGCAGCCUCAGUGAUGGGCUGUGAAAGAUUUCUCAGAACACACAUAGAAAACACUGUCAUAAAUGCAGGGACAGCUGCUCCUGAUCUGUAGUCCCCAUAGCUUCUAAAACAGCACUGAAUACAUAGUGAGAACCCAAUAAAUGCCUGCUGUCUAAAACCCAGAUCCAUCGAUUACAAUAAAAAUAGAGCAGAUGGAAAAUUUUCAGAAAUGUGCCCCGCACAGAGAUUUGUCUCUUGUAGAGUUUGUUCUGGUCACUCUUUCUGCAAAGGCUUGAUGUAGGGAGAACUGUUUCCAUGCCUUUCCUAGAUUAAUGUAAUUGGAUCUCUGACGAAUGAGCUGAGUUGUUGCAAAAAAUGUAUUUAGUUUCCAAAAUUUCCUAGAAGAGGAGACUCCGGAUCAUAGGCCCAGAUCACCCUUCCCACACCAGCUUUGCCCUAAAGCAGAUAGCCUGAGAUUGGGGCUGCAUAUCCUUAGCUAUUGAAUUGAAUUGACAGAGUCAGUUCUUUUUUCUCAAUCAAUGCUGUGAUUAUGUCAUCUACCAAAUCCUGCAAUCCCUUUUCCAGCUUGACAGGGUAAGAAAAAGCACAGUGCAGCCAAUUCUUACGGAGGCACUUCUAUGACAUAUGUCCCCAAGUAGGACAGGAGACGAAAAUUCCAAUCUCCUUCUGACAUGAACUUCAUUUGGGGUCUGGAGUAAAUCAAGGCUAAAGUGCACGUAUUUAUUAACUACUUGCUGUGGGUGAAGCAUUCUGCUUGCUAAGUGCUAGAAGAAAUGAUAAUAAUAAAAACAUCUAGCAUAUGUAUUAUGUUUAUUAUAUUAGAAAACCCUUUCUCAUAUCAGCUCAUUCAGUCCCCAUAAUGUUCUGAAAAGCAGAUAGGCUGAUCUCUGUUUUGCAGAAAACUGAGGUCACAAAGACUAUGUGAUAGGCCCAUGUUACUCACCUAGUACCCAGUGGGGCCAAGACUUUAAGAGAAUAUCAUGAUUGUACAUUUAUUACCUUUUCCAGGAUGUGAUGAAUUGGCAAAAAAAAAAAUGUAUAAUAGAAUUGAUAUACGUUGAUGAUAGAGGAAGUGAAAGACCAUAUAAUCUGAGGGGGUCAGGUUGGGCUUCUGGGAUAUGGACUGAGUUUAGGGGCCUGACCUGACCAGUGAGUGUGCCUCAGAGCCAUGGGCUGAAGGGCUGGGCAGCAGAGCUCCAUGGACACAGAGACCUUCCUCCUGUUUGAAGAUCAGGUUGAAAGGUCCUUGAGGCUUCACAUCCCAUGGGCACUGCAUCCUACAGAUGGGCCAGGAGAUGCUGUGAUUAUGCCCUUCUCACAGAGGCAGCAGGUCAUUCAGAGCUGCACAGGUGGAGCCAUCUGGCCCCCACUCUGGAAUUCUGCCUCCCAAGCCAUGCUGCUUCUUGUUGCAUUUCUUUCAAAGGGCCCAGGGACUUAAUGACGCAGCCAUGUGAAACACAUACUCUCCUGGUCCCUACGGAAGCCUCUCUGAAGACACACUGCCUCUUAUACACCCAGACAACAUGUCUAAUGGGAGGGUAAUGGCUGUAGAGUCAAACCCUGCAUGGUCAUUUGAUAACAUAGCCAUAAGUUCUUUGACACUUAUUCCAUCAAGAGGUGAUGGGGUCUCUGAAAUGGGGCUGAGUUAAUAGAGUAAAAACAAAGUGAUGGUAGGUGACUUGCCAGAUCAGGAGAAACCUUGUAGCUCCUGCUUUGGGCCUUAGGAAUGCUUGGUCUCCAGUAGUCCCUCUUGGGACCUUCCCUUCAAAAACCAAGCACCAUGUUGGGGAAGCCCAAGCUACAUGUAGAGGCUCCGUAUAUGUGUUCUUGGAAAUAGUUCCAAUGAAAUCAGCCUUCCAGAUCUCCUCCCUACCCAGAAGCACCUACAGUCUUUGGAGUCCUUGGUGGAGCAGAGACAAACCAUCCCCCUGCCAUGCCCAAAGUCUUGACCCACAGACUCUGUAAGCAGAAUGAAUGGAUGUCAUUUUAUACCACUAUAAAAUGACUUUGGGAUGGUUUAUUACACAGCAAAAGAAAAACUAACAUCUCACCACUAGGUACUGAUUGCGUAACUUUGGGGAAAAAAGUAUUCUUUUAAAAGAGCCCUCUCUGUAUAAUGCGGAUUUUAGAUAAAGUCCUACUUCAUGCAAAGUUGUCAGGAUUAAAUGAGACAGAGGGUGUGGAUUGCUCGACACAGUAUGUGGUUUGGGGUGAGUGUGAGUUUUCGCCUGGGGUGGAAAAGGGGCUUCAGUUUGUCCUGACAAGUGCUCUGCAUCUUCCAUCUCAGACAUCCUCCCUCACAUCCCCCCAGAGCACAGAUACACAGGCUAGACUUUCCAAAUCCCUCUCAGCCUCACUGCAGCUGAUUGCCUGGGAGGAUGAGAGGACCCAGGGCAGAGGGGGGGUUUUCAUGGGUGACACCCCUCUUCUUUCUGAAGAGUCUGAUCUUGACAACUGUGGGGAGGGGGCUCCAUGCAGUGGCCUUUGCCAAAGCCUGCCUGGCCUUUCACAGUGACAGACAGGGUGGGGGCCCACAUUCAUUAUAAUCACCAAGUAGGGAGGCUUUGGGGCCUCCUCAGCCAACACCCCUCUCCACGUUGAAUUCUGGAUGAGUCUCAUGAUCAAAGUUCAAGUAUGUCAGGCAUAUAAGCACCCAGAGUGUCACAGAGCUAAGAAAUAAUUGUGUGGGUCUCUUCCCUCCUGAGGACCAGCAGGAGGAAAGUCCUUUCAAGACAAGAGCUUCCAGGCAUCCUGGGAGGUGAUAAUUAACUUUCAGCCUCCACAGGUUUGAGCCUGUGAGAGGAGAGAAGGGGAAGGGCCACCCCCCACCCCCGUGUGACCAGAUGGAAUAUUGCCCCACACGCUCUGACAGGACAGAGCUCACAAUUCUUUAAUGCACUCGCUUACUCUUAGAAAAAAAAUUAAACUUCUUGAAAUCAGACUUAUAACUAAAUCUGAGAAAAUUUUUCUCUAAGAUCAAAAAAAAAAAGGCAAGGAACUGCAACUACCAAGGGCCUGAGUCUGCUUUUCCAUGGCACCCAUCUCAAAGCUGGACUCUUCUAGUGACACUCUUUUCUAAUGUGGGAUAAGAGCUGGAAGGAAGGAGGAGCUUUCUGCUGCUCCUGGACUAGGGACGAUAAAGAAGAGGUCUUGAUGGUCCUGUGGACCCAGUUAUGGUAGGUUCAUUACCAGAUUGGACUUCAAUUUUACAAAUGUUUACUGAACAUUUACUAUAUACUAGGCACUGCUCUAGAAGCUGGAAACAGUACGUAAAACAAAGAUAUUCACUCAAGGACCUUAUAGUCUAUAGAGACAGGCCAGAAGGAGUAAAGAACAAAGGGUCAUUGUAAGUCCUUUGUCUUGGGAGGUGUCCUCAGGAAUGACAGAGUCUUAAUCCACAUUUUUCUUAUUUUUUAUUUAUUUUUGAUUUAAUGCAGUUUUUAAAGAUUAUACUCCAUUUAUAGUUAUUACAAAAUAUUGGCCCUAUUCCCCAUGGUGUGCAAUAUAUCCUUGUAACCUAUCUUUUAUUUUUUUGUCUUUUUAGGGCCGCACCCACAGCAUAUAGAAGUUCCCAAGCUAAGGGUCGAAUCGGAGCUGUAGCUGCCAGCUCUAUGCCACAGCCACAGAAGCACGGGAUCUGAGCCACACAGCUCAUGGCAACGCCAAAUCCUUAACCCACUGAGCGAGGCCAGGGAUCGAACCCACAUCCUCAUGUAUACUAGUCGGGUUCGUUACUUCUGAGCCACAAUGGAAACUCCCCGUGUAACCUAUCUUAUCCCCAAUAGUUUGUACCUCCCACUCCCCCACCCCUAUUUAUUCCACAUUUUAGUCGAAAAAUUUCUUUGCUCUGAGUUUCUGAGUUUCCACAGACCCCUGUCAUGAUAUUCUAUUCAUUCCUCUAGCCUACCAGCUUUAAUAUAUCUCCUUUUCUACACUAGUCAUUUCUUACAGCCCUUUGUAGAAAUUUUCCACAUGAUUGAUGUUCCAUUUAAAAACCUCCCCUUUGGAUAGGUUUGCGGUAGAUGCCACACAGCUGGAGCUGUCAGUGGGUCAUGCUGUGAGAUGAAUUAGCCAAAACAGAACUCUGGAAACACUAUCACUUUCCUCCAUUAACACAAGUGCCAUGGAUGAGCCCUGCUCAUCGUUGCUCCAAGUGACACCCGAGCUCAACAACAGGGUUCUGUAUGCAGAGAAUUCUGAUCUCUACCCCUACACAAGUCAGCUAUCUUGUUUCAGGAUGUGGUGCCUCGGUGUCCCCAUCUCUCAAACAAAAACCUAAAAGCCCUCUUCCUU
rnacentral:lncRNA from 1 species